rnacentral:rRNA from 2 species
ACGUAUGGUGCAAGCGUUAUCCGGAUUUACUGGGUGUAAAGGGAGCGUAGGUGGCAAGGCAAGCCAGAAGUGAAAACCCGGGGCUCAACCGCGGGAUUGCUUUUGGAACUGUCAUGCUAGAGUGCAGGAGGGGUGAGCGGAAUUCCUAGUGUAGCGGUGAAAUGCGUAGAUAUUAGGAGGAACACCGGAGGCGAAGGCGGCUCACUGGACUGUAACUGACACUGAGGCUCGAAAGCGUGGGGAGCAAACAG